AUGCAAGUCGAACGCGAAAGCCCCGCAAGGGGCAAGUAGAGUGGCAAACGGGUGAGUAACGCGUGGGUGACCUGCCUUCGAGCGGGGGAUAACGUUCCGAAAGGGACGCUAAUACCGCAUAACAUCCUGCCCUUGAACGGGUGGAGAUCAAAGCUGGGGAUUCGCAAGAACCCGGCACUUGAAGAGGGGCCCGCGUCUGAUUAGCUAGUUGGUGAGGUAACGGCUCACCAAGGCAACGAUCAGUAUCCGGCCUGAGAGGGCGGACGGACACACUGGGACUGAGACACGGCCCAGACUCCUACGGGAGGCAGCAGUGGGGAAUUGUUCGCAAUGGGCGCAAGCCUGACGACGCAACGCCGCGUGGAGGAUGAAGAUUUUCGGAUCGUAAACUCCUGUCGAAUGGGACGAAAAAGCUGCGGGUGAACAGCCCGCAAUUCUGACGGUACCGUUAAAGGAAACCCCGGCUAACUCCGUGCCAGCAGCCGCGGUAAUACGGGGGGGGUAAGCGUUGUUCGGAAUUACUGGGCGUAAAGGGCUCGUAGGCGGCCAACUAAGUCGGACGUGAAAUCCCUCAGCUUAACUGGGGAACUGCGUCCGAUACUGGAUGGCUUGGAUUUGGGAGAGGGAUGCGGAAUUCCAGGUGUAGCGGUGAAAUGCGUAGAUAUCUGGAGGAACACCGGUGGCGAAGGCGGCAUCCUGGACCAAUAUUGACGCUGAGGAGCGAAAGCUA
rnacentral:rRNA from 1 species